UGAGGAAUCUGUCCAUCGGCGGGGGAUAGCCGGCCCAACGGCCGGGUAAUACCGCGUACGUCGGCGAUGACGCAUGUCAUUGCCGGGAAAGCAGCAAUGCACCGAUGGAGGACCUCGCGGCCUAUCAGCUUGUUGGCGGGGUAAUGGCCCACCAAGGCGACGACGGGUAGCCGGCCUGAGAGGGUGACCGGCCACACUGGGACUGAGACACGGUCCAGACCUCCGUACGGGGAGGNAGCG
rnacentral:rRNA from 1 species